AUGAAGGUGUUCAGAGGCAAGAUUUGGGCAGCACUAGGGUCACUCAUGGAUCAUGUAGGCGCAGCAUCCAACAAGGCUUCCACGGCGGCGGUGCCAGACCGAGCGCUCCUCACGGACAUCGAGGCGGCCAUCGCGCGGUGCACGGACGGUGGAGGGGGCGGGAGCGUCGGUGACGACCGGCACGUGCACGAGAUCCUCUUCCUCGUCUCCAACGCCCCGGGCGCGAUCACCUUCCUCUCCCGCCGCAUCACGGCGCGCCUAGAGGCCGCGCGGACCCCGGCCACCGCGCUCCGGUCUCUGCUCCUCGUCCACCGCCUCCUCCGCGCGGGCGACCGCUACUUCGAGCAGGACUUCCGAGGCCUCUGGGCCUCCCACGACCUCCGCGUCGACGCGCCGCGUUGCGGCUGCUCCUGUUCUCCCCUCGCUGCCUCAGGCGCCGGCGUCAACUAUGUCACGGCCAGCACGGUGACCGCCACCGGCGCGUGCUCUUUCCUCCACGGCUACACGGCCUACCUCGAGGAGCGCAUGCAGUGGGUGAUCAACCAGUCCGGCAACCUGGAGCCCACCCGCGCCCCACCACAAGAUCACGACGACAAGCCGCACCCGGCCUCCUCCUACGACGCCGUCGCCGCCAAGGAGCUCCUCUUCAAGCUCACCAUGUGCCAGAGGCUGCUUGACGUCGCUGUCCAGCUCCUGCCGGACAACAACACAAGCGCCAGCGCCGCCGCGCGGUCAGCCUUCGGCAUUGUCCUCCGGGAGAGCUUCAAGGUCUACGACGCCUUCAAUGAAGGCAUCGACGUGCUGCUAAGGUCAAGAAGCGUCGGUCGUCUCAGCAAGUCUCUCAGGGUUUCAGCUCAGGAGGUGCUGAGGAAGGCGUGCGCUCAGACGCCUGAGCUGAAAGAGUUCUACCACAAGUGCAAGAAGAGCAAUGUCGGCAAGAUCACGGAGUACCCCGUCGUCAGGGUCGUUACGCCGGCGCAGGCCUCGGCAAUUGAGCUCAUGCCGCCGGUCUGUGAAGAGGAUGGUCGGAAGGAGAUUGGCGGCGCCGGUGUGGUAGCGGAGGAGAACGAAGGCGACGCGCCCUUUGAGAGCAAGCUGGAGACGACUAUCAGUGCGGUGUGGGUCGAGUUCGACGACGAAGAUCACCAGGCUGGCCGUGAGUUUACCGGGGAUGAUCACAGCAGCUAG
rnacentral:rRNA from 1 species